rnacentral:rRNA from 1 species
AAACGGGUGGUAAUGCCGGAUGCUCCAGUUGAUCGCAUGGUCUUCUGGGAAAGCUUUCGCGGUAUGGGAUGGGGUCGCGUCCUAUCAGCUUGACGGCGGGGUAACGGCCCACCGUGGCUUCGACGGGUAGCCGGCCUGAGAGGGCGACCGGCCACAUUGGGACUGAGAUACGGCCCAGACUCCUACGGGAGGCAGCAGUGGGGAAUAUUGCACAAUGGGCGCAAGCCUGAUGCAGCGACGCCGCGUGAGGGAUGGAGGCCUUCGGGUUGUAAACCUCUUUUAUCGGGGAGCAAGCGAGAGUGAGUUUACCCGUUGAAUAAGCACCGGCUAACUACGUGCCAGCAGCCGCGGUAAUACGUAGGGUGCAAGCGUUAUCCGGAAUUAUUGGGCGUAAAGGGCUCGUAGGCGGUUCGUCGCGUCCGGUGUGAAAGUCCAUCGCUUAACGGUGGAUCCGCGCCGGGUACGGGCGGGCUUGAGUGCGGUAGGGGAGACUGGAAUUCCCGGUGUAACGGUGGAAUGUGUAGAUAUCGGG